AUUGAACGCUGGCGGCAGGCCUAACACAUGCAAGUCGAACGAGUGGCGGACGGGUGAGUAAUGUCUGGGAACCUGCCUGAUGGAGGGGGAUAACUACUGGAAACGGUAGCUAAUACCGCAUACCAUCGGAUGUGCCCCGAUGGGAUUAGCUAGUUGGUGGGGUAAAGGCUCACCUAGGCGACGAUCCCUAGCUGGUCUGAGAGGAUGACCAGCCACACUGGAACUGAGACACGGUCCAGACUCCUACGGGAGGCAGCAGUGGGGAAUAUUGGACAAUGGGCGAAAGCCUGAUCGAGCCAUGCCGCGUGUAUGAAGAAGGCCUUCGGGUUGUAAAGUACUUUCGGUGGGGAGGCGUUACCCGCAGAAGAAGCACCGGCUAACUACGUGCCAGCCGCCGCGGUAAUAC
rnacentral:rRNA from 1 species